CAAAUACUCCCUCCGUCCGGAAAUAUUUGUCGAAGAAAUGGAUGUAUCUAGACGUAUUUUAGUUAUAGAUACAUCCAUUUUUAUCCAUUUCUAUGACAAGUAAUUUCCGGACGGAGGGAGUAUAUA
rfam:Triticum aestivum genome assembly, contig: Triticum_aestivum_CS42_TGACv1_scaffold_528821_6DL